AGAAGAAGGCUAAUGAAAUAGACGCAGAGGCACAAACAUUGGCACCAGAUGAGUGUCAGUCAGUGUACGAAGGGCAGAGUAAAGUCAAACUACCUUCAACCAUCAGUGAGAGGCAUGUUCAUGGCUCCAAACACUGGAGCACUGCACCAAGGGCUGGAGAAACCUCAACCUCUGAGGCUGCAGAUGACUUCUCGAACACCCUCACAAGUCAUCGCACCUGGCCCUGGAAGCACACAGAAUAAUUAAACUUUUUCCCAUACAUAUUUAUUGGACUGUACAGACUGUAGGCUAUUACAGACAUUUACAUCAGAAUUUUAAUACAUGCCUAAUCCUGAAUGCUAAUGGCACAUUCAUAAUUUACCAUGGAGAAACCCUCCUCCAGUUGAGCUGCAGAGGAUGCUUGAACUCAACACUUCCACCCACUCGUACAUACAGUACAUUUACACAAGAUUACUGAGUGACUGGCGCUCAUCGGAUCACCUGAUUCAGGUGUGGAUGCAGAAAGGUGGCGCUGUGACAUGCAAAGCAGA